rnacentral:rRNA from 1 species
AGUUCGGAUUGUAGUCUGNAACCCGACUACAUGAAGCCGGAAUCGCUAGUAAUCGCGGAUCAGAAUGCCGCGGUGAAUACGUUCCCGGGUCUUGUACACACCGCCCGUCACACCAUGGGAGUCGGAAAUGCCCGAAGCCGGUGACCCAACCCGAAAGGGAGGGAGCCGUCGAAGGCAGGUCGGAUGACUGGGGUGAAGUCGUAACAAGGUACC